CGGGAACGUGGUCUCUCAUAUCGAACGGGGUAUGGAGACCUUAUGUGUUUUGGCGCCCAUACCUGACGGGGUAUGGGGACAGCCCAUUUCCCCCUCAUACCGAACGGGGUAUUGAGGUUUAUGGUUUUGGCGCCCAUACCGGACGGGGUAUAGGGACGACCCGUUUCACCCUCAUACCGAACGGGGUAUUGAGGUUUAUGGUUUUGGCGCCCAUACCGGACGGGGUAUGGGGACAUCCCAUUUCACCCUCAUACCGAAUGGGGUA
rnacentral:lncRNA from 1 species